UGUAGACUUCUCUCGUGCUCCGGACGUUAAUGUCUGGGCACUGGGCACUGCUGUGGGCUUGAAAUUACUCCGUGGUUUAAUAAGCACUGUUAAUCAACUUUUUUUUUUCUUUCUUUCUUUUUUUUCUUUUUGCCCAAGUAGUCAAUUGGAUGAUGCAAACUUUCUAUCCCAAAUAGGUAAGCAGCACCUGAGCCGGAUAAACUCCGCUGCGCCUCACGUUACCUGGAAGCGCUGGCCAGGGAUCCUUGGUAGAGAGUCUGGAAUAGGAUAAGAAACCAGAUAGUUGUGUGUCCAUCUGUCCGUGCCAGUCGUCCCCCCUGGACCUGCUGAAAAUCAGACCGCUCACGCACAACAGGUUUUUUCAAGAGGCAAGUUGCAGCUCUCGCAAAAAAACAAAUCAAAGUGAGAAAACUUUUGCUUCAAGUUCAGAGCAAAGAAAGUAAACAUUUCUGUAACACUGUAGGUAUUGCCAGGAUCUUCCAGCAAAAUCAGAUAGAGAUGUAUUACAAGGGCUUAUCAAUAAUAUUUAUAUGCUCACGCAAAUACAUCUAUGUGUCCGUAAAAGGAACGAUCCAGACCCCAGAAGGUUAAGACCUGCUGGCCAACGAUAGUUUUCUAAAUCGACCUUGUCGGCUUUCGCUUGUGACUUUCCAGCAGAGGGAAACGCAGCCCAAGCGAUGAGGGCUGGUGGGAGCGACAGGCAGCCCUGGCAAACACCAACUGUCUCUGUUCUCUUUUAACUCCACUUUCUUCCUCUGCCAAACUCUGAUGCAUGCUGAGUGAUUAAAAAUAUCAAAUAGCCCUCAAGUUUCAGUGUUACCCAGCAAGGAGUCAAGUCAGGGGGAAAAAAAAAAAAA